UACGGGGGGGGGCAAGCGUUGUUCGGAAUUACUGGGCGUAAAGGGCUCGUAGGCGGCCAACUAAGUCAGACGUGAAAUCCCUCGGCUUAACCGGGGAACUGCGUCUGAUACUGGAUGGCUUGAAUCCGGGAGAGGGAUGCGGAAUUCCAGGUGUAGCGGUGAAAUGCGUAGAUAUCUGGAGGAACACCGGUGGCGAAGGCGGCAUCCUGGACCGGCAUUGACGGCUGAGGAGCGAAAGCCAGGGGAGCAAACGGG
rnacentral:rRNA from 1 species